UAUAAUACACUCCUAAGUUGGCGACGUUGGCGUAUUGUAUAAUUAUUUACAGGUAUGACAGUGCUACUGUGCUAACUAUAGUUACACGCGUGAUUCAAAGCCAUCUGCCAAUUCAUUGUUGUAGAUAUUUGUCACCAAGCUUAAAAGCAACCGUACUCUUAUAUUUUAUCAAUAAUUACAAGGUACAAACUACAAAGAAAAUAAUGGAAAGAAGCAGGAUCUACAUAGAUCAUGAGGGGAAGACAUAUUCGAAUUGCUCCGUUCACCGCCGUGUUUGGGAUAAUACAUAAAAUAUAAUAUAUAGUUUGCACUAUCCAACGUUUUGGAAAUUUAUAAAUGGCUUAAAGAAUAAAAAAAAUAUUCAAGAGCUGAGUACGAACAAUUGCUUGCAGGACAUUCUAAAAAUGAGAAAAAAAAUAUAAAGACCCGGCAAAAAAAAAAUAGAAGAUAAUUGGUAAAUUUAUUUAAACAAAAAACACAAUAAUGAACUUUUUAAAAGGUAUUGCAUAAAAUUUUCAAUUAUAAGUUUAAAUAUUAUACAUUUAUUUUUGAUUUAUAUACCAAAUUCUUAUUAUUAAUUUAUUAUUGUAUUAAACAUUUAAAAGAUGAGUUAUAAUUGCAUACUAUUGUGAUAAUUGCAUAUUAUCAUUUUAAACCAAAAAAAAAAAAUGAAUUGUUCGACAUUUUUGUAAUCGCUAUAAACUACAUUGGCUCAUUUUGUUUUGUUUUUUUAACCAUCGCAGAAAUAGUUUCAUUUAAAUUUAUAUACAUAUUACAUAUACUAUAACUAUAUACAUUUAACAUCAAAAUAUGUUAUACAAUUUAAAUAACCACCUGUUUUA